AUCGNUAAGACCUUGCGCUUUUGGAGUGGCCGAUGCCUGAUUAGCUAGUUGGUGGGGUAAAGGCCUACCAAGGCGACGAUCAGUAGUUGGUCUGAGAGGACGACCAGCCACACUGGGACUGAGACACGGCCCAGACUCUACGGGAGGCAGCAGUGGGGAAUUUUGGACAAUGGGCGAAAGCCUGAUCCAGCAAUGCCGCGUGAGUGAAGAAGGCCUUCGGGUUGUAAAGCUCUUUCAGUCGAGAAGAAAAGAUUGUGAUGAAUAAUCACAAUUCAUGACGGUAUCGACAGAAGAAGCACCGGCUAACUACGUGCCAGCAGCCGCGGUAAUACGUAGGGUGCAAGCGUUAAUCGGAAUUACUGGGCGUAAAGGGUGCGCAGNCGGCUUUGUAAGUCAGAUGUGAAAUCCCCGGGCUUAACCUGGGAAUUGCGUUUGANAACUACAA
rnacentral:rRNA from 1 species